rnacentral:rRNA from 1 species
AGUGAACGCUGGCGGUAGGCCUAACACAUGCAAGUCGAACGGCAGCACAGUAAGAGCUUGCUCUUACGGGUGGCGAGUGGCGGACGGGUGAGGAAUACAUCGGAAUCUACUUUUUCGUGGGGGAUAACGUAGGGAAACUUACGCUAAUACCGCAUACGACCUACGGGUGAAAGCAGGGGAUCUUCGGACCUUGCGCGAUUGAAUAAGCCGAUGUCGGAUUAGCUAGUUGGCGGGGUAAAGGCCCACCAAGGCGACGAUCCGUAGCUGGUCUGAGAGGAUGAUCAGCCACACUGGAACUGAGACACGGUCCAGACUCCUACGGGAGGCAGCAGUGGGGAAUAUUGGACAAUGGGCGCAAGCCUGAUCCAGCCAUACCGCGUGGGUGUAGAAGGCCUUCGGGUUGUAAAGCCCUUUUGUUGGGAAAGAAAAGCAGCAGGUUAAUACCCCGCUGUUCUGACGGUACCCAAAGAAUAAGCACCGGCUAACUUCGUG